rnacentral:rRNA from 1 species
GCGUUACAAGUGGGCUCUGACCGGUAAGCGGUCAUGGCGAAAUGGGAUGAACCAUACGUCUGAAUAAGGUGCCGAAAUGUACUAUCACUGAUACCAUAAAGGGAGUCCAUGUAUUUAGACAGCAGGUCGGUGCCCCUAAAAGCAGGUAUCCGCUAAAGAGUGUGUUAAAACUCACCUGCCGAAUACUAGGGCCCCGAAAAUGAAUGGCGCAUAUAGUACUACCGAUCUCAGACAUCAGUUCUAUUGAACUGAGAGUAGGGGGAUGUGGACAUUUUUGUGAAGGUGCAAUGUGAGUUGGACUGGAAGAAUGUCUAUUACAGAUCCUAAUUGAAGUAGCGAUUAUCCAGGCUUGUAUCCUGGGGGCUGAUGAGGAGUAGGGUUUCUGGACAACUUAAACAGAUCCAGAGUUAGUCGAUCCUAAUCUCAAUAAUGGGAGAAAGGGAGUACAGUUGAUAUUCUGUAACUGACAACAGUUCGCGGCAACGCAUACUAUUUUUCUCCGCCAAUCUUAUACCGUUGGUAGGGAUCUCUUUCCUACAUGACAGUACUAAUACCCAGGGAAACUGGUCAUCAGGCGAACUGCGGCGUUCUGCUGGCAAAACAUAGCUUCGGUUAUGUCAAUGGCUAUUGGAUUGGUCCAUGAAGCGAAAAAUAGUUUACUGUGUCACUCGUACCGAUAACCGCAUCAGGUCUUCUAGGUAAGUAGCCUAUGGCCAUUGAGGCAUGAUAGUUCAGGGAAUUCGGCCAAUUAGAGCUGUAACUUCGGGAUAAAGCUUGGCUCUGAUGAAAAUCAGAACCGAUUGUUACGCGGAGAGCCCAACUGUUUAAUAAAAACGUAGUGUCGCGCUGUGGUAGUAUAGCCAGUGAACGCGACAUGAAUCCUGCUCAGUGCUGUGUCUGUUAAUAUGGUUCAAGCCAACGAAGCACCGGUAAAUAGCUGGGGGUAACUAUGACUCUUAUCAAAGUAGCGAAAUACCUCGUCACUUAAUUAGUGACCUGCAUGAACGGAGCUAUGAGGUUCUCACUGUCCCAAACUGUCUCUCAGCGAACCAACUGUAGUGGGAACGGUCACUAGAUAUCCAGCGGGGAAAGAAGACCCUGUAGAGCUUCACUUUGGUCUAGUCUUGUAUAGUUCCUGCGGGGGUGUAGACUAGGUGGGAGAGCAAUCGAUUCUGAAAAACCACUACCCUGUUUGGAAUUAUGCUUACCUAUCACAAGGAAUAGGACUAGAUAGAAAGUUUGGCUGGGGCGGCACACCUUCGAAAGAGCAGCGAAGGUGUCCUAAGUUGAGCUCAGUGAGGACAGAAAUCUCACGUUGAGGAUAAGGCCAAAAGCUCAAUUUACUGUGCCUUUUUGUACUAGGAUCAGUUACGAAAGUAAGGCCUAACGAUCCCUAAAUAGCCUCAGGUGCGUGAGGAUUGGGGUGACAGACAAGUUACCUCCGGGACAACUGGCUUGUGGCUGCUAAGAGAUCAAAUCAACGCAGCUUUUUGAUUCUUCGAUGUCGGCUCUUCCUAUCCUAGUGAUGUACAAGUUGCUAAGGGUCGGAUUGUUCACCCGUAUUAGGGAUCGUGAGCUGGGUUUAGACCGUCGUGAGCCAGGUUUGUUUUAUCCUACUGGAUAUAGCAUCAUGAUAGUAGAUUGAUUUAGUACGAGAGGAACUGUUGAUUAUGGCCUCUGGUUAGCGAUUAUCGGAAACGGUAUGUCGCGCAGCUACGCCGUCUGGGAUAAUGGCUGAAAGCCUCUUAAGCCAGAAGCCCAUCUAGAAAGUGAUGCACGUGAUGUUGGACCGAUACGAAUAAUCAUACUCAAAAGGUCCGCUUCAUAGGUAACCCAAUGUAGAAGACAUUGUGUGAACGAAGGUACUGUAAGCAGUGGAGUGGCAUUACGUCCACGACCUGUUGAGGUUCAGCUUCGCUUCUAGGUUUCCAAAUAUUUU